rnacentral:rRNA from 1 species
AGCGGCAGCGCGGGGGCAACCCUGGCGGCGAGCGGCGAACGGGUGAGUAACACAUCGGAACGUACCCUGUCGUGGGGGAUAGCCCGGCGAAAGCCGGAUUAAUACCGCAUACGACCUGAGGGUGAAAGCGGGGGAUCGCAAGACCUCGCGCGAUAGGAGCGGCCGAUGGCGGAUUAGCUAGUUGGUGAGGUAAAGGCUCACCAAGACGACGAUCCGUAGCUGGUCUGAGAGGACGACCAGCCACACUGGAACUGAGACACGGUCCAGACUCCUACGGGAGGCAGCAGUGGGGAAUUUUGGACAAUGGGGGCAACCCUGAUCCAGCCAUUCCGCGUGAGUGAAGAAGGCCUUCGGGUUGUAAAGCUCUUUCGGCAGGAACGAAACGGUGGAGGCUAAUACCUUUCAUUAAUGACGGUACCUGAAGAAGAAGCACCGGCUAACUACGUGCCAGCAGCCGCGGUAAUACGUAGGGUGCGAGCGUUAAUCGGAAUUACUGGGCGUAAAGCGUGCGCAGGCGGUUCUAUAAGACAGAUGUGAAAUCCCCGGGCUUAACCUGGGAACUGCGUUUGUGACUGUAGGACUGGAGUGUGGCAGAGGGGGGUGGAAUUCCACGUGUAGCAGUGAAAUGCGUAGAGAUGUGGAGGAACACCGAUGGCGAAGGCAGCCCCCUGGGUUAACACUGACGCUCAUGCACGAAAGCGUGGGGAGCAAACAGGAUUAGAUACCCUGGUAGUCCACGCCCUAAACGAUGCGAACUAGGUGUUGGAGAAGGAGACUUCUUUAGUACCGUAGCUAACGC